rnacentral:lncRNA from 1 species
GCUAAGACCCUGAAAGCUGAACCAGUACCAUCUCCUUGGAGCACCUUCUGAGGGUCCCUCUAGCCUACAAAGUGUAGUCAAGUGGAAUUUGUGCGCUUUCCUGAUUCAGGCCCAAUCCAGUCUUCCUAUGCCAGCCACAGAGCAGUCCCAUACUCCCUUCUGCUCAAUCCUACCCUGCCUCUUCUGCCUAAGCGUACAGGUAGCAGACCAGCAAGUUAACUACAUAAUCACAUCUCUCAGUAGAACGUGACUACCAUUCCUGCAAGAACCUUAAACAAACACUUAUCACCAUCAAGAUGCCUAUUCUGGCAGAAGCCCAUUCCUCCAUCUGCAUGGAUGAUCAGAACAGAAAACAAUCCGGGAAUAUGUUGCUGUUUAGAAUUGGAGCAUCAAAAGCCAAUGCAGAAGAUACAGAAGGAGCAGCCAGGAAGAAAAUCAGGACAGUGGUGUUUCACAGAAACCUAGAGAGAAGAGAAUUUCACAGAAAAAUUAGCAGAGCAUGCCAACUACUGAUACUGAUUAGGGAAAUUUAGAAAUGUCAAAAAUCUUCUAACUCAGCCAUGAAGAGAUCACUGCUGAUUUUCUGUCAGGGAAAAACCCCAAAUAUUUUUAUAUUAAACACUUCAUGAGUCAAAGAGAAAUCACAAAUCAACUCAGAAGAUUUUAAAAACCCAAUAAAAGUGAACAUAAUACAUAAAAAAUUAUGGGAUGCAGGUCAAGCAGUGUUUAGAGAAAAUUUUGUAUCUGUAAAUGCUUGUAAUAUAAAAAACAAAGAAUCACCAAGUGCAGUGGCUCAUGCCUGUCAUCCCAACACUCUGGAGGCCAAGGAGGGAGGAUCGUUUGAGGCCAGGAGUUCGAGACUAGCCUGAGGAACAUAACAAGGCCUCACUGCAACAACAAAAC